UUUUUUUUUCUUUUUGUUUACCUAAGAGGCAGAAUUAGAGAGAGAGAGAGAGAGAGGUCUUCCAUCUGCUGGUUCACUCCCCAAAUGGCCACAGCUGCUGGAGCUGGGCCGAUCCAAAGCCAGGAGCUCCUUCCUGAUCUCCCGCAUGGGCACAGGGGCUCAAGCACUUGGGCCACCCUCUGCUGCCUUCUCAGGCCACCAGUAGGGAGCUGGAUAGGAAGUGGAGCAACCAGGAGUUGAACUGGCACCUAUGUGGGAUGCCGGCACUGCAGGUAGAGGCUUAACCUACUAAGCCACAGCGCCGGCCCCAAAUUCUUUGAACAAAUAUAUGAAAAGCACUUUAGCAGGAGCUGUUGGUACAGAGAUGAGCUCUGCUUGGGUGGUGCUUUGUUCUAGCGGGUGGGCAGGAGGGGCAGCAGGUUACCAGCAAGGACAGGAGACUGCGUGACCUCUGAUGGGGAGAACACGUUUCUGUAUGUAGGUCCAGCAGGAUGACCUUUGAACUGAGUGUGAACGACAAAGAGGAAGCCUGGGGAACGGCUGAGGAAGCGUUCUGGGAAGAGCAGUGAGUAACACGGGAGCCGGGCAAGGUGGCUGCGGGUGGAGUCUGGGCACGGGAGAGGCUGGGGCAGCGGGGCAGCCAGAGGGAUGCGGGCCUCCCUGGUGGACACUCCACAUUUUAACUCUAAGAGCAAUGGGAGACGAUCGAAGGGUUUGAGCAAGCAAGUGACUUGCUCUGAUUUCUGCUUCUAAGAGAUCGCUGUGGCUUCUGUGAGGAGGCGGAUCCUCAGGUGACCAAGAUAGAAUCCAGAGGGGCCAGCACCAUGGUUCACUGGGCUAAUUCUCCACCUGCGGCGCCGGCACCCCGGUUUCUAGUCCCGCUUGGGGUGCCAGUUCUGUCCCGGUUGUUCCUCUUCCAGUCCAGCUCUCUGCUGUGGCCUGGGAGUGCAGUGGGCCCUGCACCCGCAUGGGAGACCAGGAGGAAGCACCUGGCUCCUGGCUUCGGAUCAGCACAGCAUACCGCCUGUAGCAGCCAUUUUGGGGGUGACAAUUUGGGGGUGAACCAACGGAAGGAAGACCUUUCUGUCUCUCUGUCUCUCUCUCUCACUAACUCUGCCUUUCAAAAAAAAAAAAAAAAAAAGAAUCCAGAAAUCCAGAGGGGAGCUUGGAAGCUACGGAAGGAAUCAGGUGAGGGCUGGAGGCGGCCAGGAGGAGGAAGAGCUGUGGCUGGAUCCAGGUUGCCGUUCGGGGAAAGGACUUUGGCUUCCAUUCAGUGUGGACUCUGCUUUGGUAGUGUCCAGAACUGGCCUCCUGGCCCCUUCACCAGUUCACUGGCUUCCCUCACGUAAAUGCUCUGUGUCCAUUUCAAGAACCCAUGGUUUAACAGCCAGCUCACACAAAACUCCUGAGAAGGUGGCGACUGGCUCUCGUUGGCUGUGUUGAGCCGACUCCUCCUCAUCGAUGUCUCCCUCCCACCCACACCUGUUCUUUGACAUCACCCACAGCUGUCUGAGAGAGGAGCUGGCACACAGAGGGCGUCAGGGCUGCGAGAACCACAGGCAGUGGCACUGAAGCCUUAGUGGCACCCAGAACCGCUGGAUCAACCCAUGUCUGAAGGCAGCUGAUCUCCAGGCUUCCCAGCUGUGGAAGCCUGGCCCCACGGGGGAGCCCCAGAACACAAAUCGCGCCACGGAACUGGUCUACAAGUAGAGGCACUCCGUCACCAGCCGAGGUCUGCUGUGGGUGGGGAUGAGGGAUGUAGCUUGUCCUGGUCCACUUGGGCUAUUGUGAUGAGAUAACACCCUGAGCCGGGUGAUUUUGAAGUCACAAUAAUGAACAGAACUUUAAUUCUCACAAUUCUGGCUGGGAAGUUCAAGAUCAUGGAACUGGCAGCAGAUUUAGGUGUAGAAGGGCGCUGAUCCCAGUGGAUACUGCUGUCUACGUAUUCUCACGUGGAGGAGUGAACAAGGCAGCUCCCUGCAACCUCCUUUGCAAAAUCACCAAUUGGCCCAUGACUAAGCCCUCACGACGGAGCCACUUCCCCCAAAGGCUGCACAUCUUACCGCUGUCACUUUGGCUGUUAGGUUCCAGCAUGUGAAUUUUGGAGACAUCAGCAUUGGGACCAAAGCCCUGCACCCCCGCCCCCUCAAAAUUCAUGUUCUCCCGAGCAAAACACAGCCGUUCCAUCCCGGUAGCUCCCCAAGCGCAUGCUUCUUCCAGCACCAACUCCACAUCCGAAGUCUCGUCCAGAUCAGGCAUGGGUGAGACGCAAAGGGGAGCUCUCUUCUGCUGUGAGGCUGUGACAUCCGCCCAGUUUCGUGCUGACAGAAUGCAAAGGGAGGAGUAGGAAAGACGAGGGGGUAAGAGACCUUGGUUACCUGGUGCCCUAUGGCUCCAUGUCGUCUUCCUUGGCGUCAGCUCCCUGCUUCUGGACACACCGGGAGGCUGCAGGUGCUGGCUGGUCUCCACUUCCUCUUCCAAAACUUCGCUGCUGCCCCAUCCGGAGGGGAGCCCGAGUCUCCUCCCUGGGUGGGCCUCGGUGACAGUCCAGACAAACACCAUCACCAGGGGGCCCAGGGCAAAACGAAGAUGCACAGUGCUUUGUUCACAUACGAAGAAUUUCAAGAUGGUGACAGUAGAGUUUGAAACCAAAUAAAGGACUCUUUUUAUUAUUUUUAAGAAUAUUUUAUUGAUUUAUUUUCAUUUUGUUUGAAAGAUGGAGAAGCAGAGAGAGAAAGAUCUUCCACCCACCAGUUCACUUUCCAAAAGCCCUCAAUAGACAGGGCUAGGCCAGGCAGGCAAAAACCAAGAGCCUGGAAUUCAACUUGGAUCUUGGGUGGCAGGGACCCAGGUGCCUGAGCCCUCACUGCUGCCCUCGGGUUGUCCAUCAGCAGGAAGCUGGACCGGGAGUGGAGUCGCUGGGACUCAAAGCAGGCACUCUGAUGUGGGACUGCACGGGUCACCGGACCAUCAGGUUGGCCCCAGAUGGAACCCACUGGAAUGCACUGAGUGACUUCUGACAGUUGUAGUAGUAAUGCAGCACCCGCCCGGGGCCCAGCCGCAGGGAUGUGAGGAACCCAGGCGAGGUUCAGGCGCCACAUGCAGGUGCUGGCCCCCAGCCCCAGCUGAGCUCUCAGCAGCAGCCAGCACUGGGGCAGAUCUUACAGAAGUCCUGAACGGUUCAGGCUCCAGCUGCCGCGUCAUCCCUUGGCUUUGGUCUCUGUGCUCAGACCCUGGAUGUCACCAUUUAGACAAGCUGCGCCCUUUCUGAAUUCCUGACCCACCGAAUCCGUGAGCUCGGGAGUGAUUUGUCACUCAACCAAGGAGGACAGGAUAGCCCCCUCUCCCCCGGCUCGAAUCGGCCCCUCCGUCUCUGAGUUGCUGUGGUUUGGGUUCAAAAGACGCAUUUGAUCUGUUGUCUCAACAUUCUGAACAUAUCCAUUCGGAUAGUGUCUUUCCCACCACGCGAACCAUCAGCAGUGCCGGCCCGAGUCUCUGUUUCCAGGAAACUGGAGUCAGGAGCUAGAGGCAGGCGUGGGACUCGGGUAUUCUGAUGAGGGGCACAGGUGUGCUGCCUGCCAGGCCAAGCGCCCGCUCCCCAGAUCCCACAUCCUUUGUUCAUCCCUCUGUUCUUCCCGGGCCUGCAGUGGGACCUUGUGCAUGGGGGCUGCAGCUCUUCUGAGCAAACCUGGACCAGAGCCCAGAGCAGAAGCAGUGGAGGGUUGAAGAGUAGGGAGGAGGAGAGUCCUUGCCAUGGGUCUGAGGAAGACAACUUUCUAGAAGAGAAGCUCUUGUUUGGAUGUAAUCUGACCAUGCGCUCAGCCGUCGUGGGAAUCAGGCAGCUGCUACAACAGGUGCAAAAAGAGGCCAUUGAUCGGAGAUCUUGACGCCAGUGCACAGAGCGGGGGCGAAAGAGACUUUUUCUGGUGAGGGAAAGGCAGAGCAGUUCGGUGUGGCUGGCAGACGGUGUGCCUGUCUGGGAGGAGCGUUUCUUCAGCAUUGCUAUCCGUGAUCUCCAGCGUACAGAGCCGCACCACAGCUGGGAGGCAGCGGGAGGCAGAGGCGGACAGCCUGGGGUAGAGCGCUCUGCACACCUGUGGCUUCCCCCGCAGCACUAGUCGCAAGGUGCAGGCUGUGCUCCGAGGCAGAGGGCGGAUGUGAAGUGGCAUGAGAGUUCUGGGCUCCGGAAGGUGUCGCUGAGGCUUGCUCUGACAAGCGGUGUCCAGGCUGCUUCUGGAGAAAGAAACAUUGUGAUAGACGUGGUGAGGCACAGUUGGAUCUUCUGGGAGCAGUCAAGGAAUGGAAACUUUGUGUCGUUGUCCCGUGAGUAAACCAUCUUACAACUGGAUCCUCCAGUCUCAGAUGACACCUUGACUGCAACUUAGGAGAGACCCUGCCACCAUUGCCUAAGGGAAUCCUGGGGAAUAAAACUAACUACACCAUUGCAAGAGAAGCUGUGCUCAGUUUUGGGUACCAUCAUCCACAAAAUCUUUCCAGGAAAGACAAGGAAUAAAAUGUAAGUGUUGUUCAAUCUUAGGACCUUUGAGGAAGCUACAAAAAACUGACUUGCUAAGCCCGGAAAAGUAAAACAAUUGAUGCUUUCUUAAAAAAAAGAGAUUCAUUUUAUUUUAUUUAUUUGAAAGACAGAGUUACAGAGCGAGGUAGAGACACAGAGAGUCUUCCAUCUGCUGGUUCACUCCCUAAAUGUCUGCAACAGCAGGAACUGAGCCAAUCUGAAGCCAGGAGCCAGGAGCCAGGAGCUUCUUCCAGGUCUCCCACGAGGGUGCAGGGGCCCAAGGACUUGGGCCAUUUUCCAUUGCUUUCCCAGGCACAUUAGCAGGGAGCUGGAUUGGAAGUAGAACAGCCAAGACUUGAACUAGCACCCAUAUGGGAUGCCAGUGCUACAGGCCAGGGCCUUAACCCACUGUGCCACAGUGCCAGUCCCAACAAUUGACACUUUCUUGAGUGAAUUAAAAGUUCAGUGUGUAGGAGAAUAGCCUCUCCCAACACUUUUUAAAAAAGAUUUAUUUAUUUGAAAGGCAGAGUUACAGAGAGGCUGAGGCAGUGAGAAAGAGGGAGAGAGGUUCUCCAUCUGCUGUUCCACUUCCCAAAUGGCCACAAUGGCUGGUUGUACGAGGCCAAACCAGAAGCCAGGAGCUUCCUCUGGGUCUCCCAUAUGAGUGCAGGGGCCCAAGGAUUUGGGCCAUCUCCCACUGCAUUCCCAGGCCAUAGCAGAGAGCUGGAUGGGAAGUGGAAUAACUGUGCUCAUUUGGGAUGCCGGCACUGUAGACUGGGGCUUUAACCUACUACGCCGCUGCAUUGGCCCCAUCUCCCAACACUCUUACUCAUGAAAGUGACUUGAGAAAAGUCUUGAAGGGACCAAAGACCUGUGUUUAAAACCAGGUGGCUAGGGACUGACGCUGUGGCUCAGCGGGUUAACACCCUGGCCUGAAGUGCCAGCAUCCCAUAUGGGCGCCGGUUCAAGU